rnacentral:rRNA from 1 species
UACGUAGGGUGCAAGCGUUGUCCGGAAUUAUUGGGCGUAAAGAGCUCGUAGGCGGUUUGUCGCGUCUGCUGUGAAAACCCGAGGCUCAACCUCGGGCCUGCAGUGGGUACGGGCAGACUAGAGUGCGGUAGGGGAGAUUGGAAUUCCUGGUGUAGUGGUGGAAUGCGCAGAUAUCAGGAGGAACACCGAUGGCGAAGGCAGAUCUCUGGGCCGUAACUGACGCUGAGGAGCGAAAAGCAUGGGGAGCGAACGGGG